GGUACCCUCGUUGUUUCAGUAAUCUACCAGGUGCCCUUGUGCUUUAUGGUAAUUUCACCAGAUACCCCUGCUCACCAACGGCUAGUUUUUUUUAAAAAAACUAGCCGUUGGUAAGCCUUCUCUAUUUAAAGGGGGAGCCGCUGCAACUCUUCACUACAAAUUUCUGUUCUUCCCCUUAACCAACUCAUAUUUUCCCUAAUUCCCAAUUCAAAUGAGCUCAUAUUCUCAAUCCCAAUCUUCUUCUACAACGUAUGAAUCCUCAUACGUUGUAGUUCCACACAAAACAUGCAACAUAUGUGGGAAAAAAUUUGCAAUAAGAAGUUCUGAAACAAUGAAAAAUCCUCAAAGACUAUAUUACAAGUGUGACUUAUGUGACAACUUCAAGUGGUGCAAGGGAAGCAUUGAGCAACCACUGCCAAUCAGAAACAACAGAGGUAGCACAAAGGAAGGAGAAAUUGAAGAAAACAGAAGCUUGGAUGAAGAAAUUCACCAAAUGAAGAAGAAACUCAAGCAGCAAAAGAAAUUAAUGCAUGGAACUAUCAAUAUUGGCAUUGUAAUGUUUUUUAUUCUAGUAUUUGUAAUGAGAAAGUGAAUGAUGACAUUUCAUCAAUAAUAUGAUAUUUCAUUUCCGAA